UACGUAGGGUGCGAGCGUUGUCCGGAAUUAUUGGGCGUAAAGGGAGUGUAGGCGGUUUCCUAAGUCUUCUGUGAAAUCUACGGGCUUAGCCUGUAACGUGCAGAGGAAACUGGGAGACUUGAGUGUCGGAGAGGAUAGGGGAAUACCCGGUGUAGAGGUGAAAUUCGUAGAGAUCGGGUGGAACACCAGUGGCGAAGGCGCCUGUCUGGCUGACAACUGACGCUGAGACUCGAAAGCAUGGGGAGCAAACAGG
rnacentral:rRNA from 1 species